UUUGCUUUGGCAGAAAAUGCGUUAAAUUUAGAAUUUAAUUAUAUAGGGAUAUACNAUAGGUAAAA
rnacentral:tRNA from 1 species